CAUGGCUACACCGCUAGCACAGGGCCAGCAUUCCACAACAGCAUUCCUGGACUCCUCUGAGCGGAGUAGAAAAGUGUCUGGCUGCAUCAGCGCAGCAGCAGGUGCUGAGUUGUAAUCUUCUACGUUGUAUUGUAAUGUGCAGUCUCGGAUUUCAAUAGUUGGGCCAAAGUUUUACGACGAGCGCCAAGUCGACGUGUCAAGUGCUACAACAGAGACGGUAGAACAGAUCCAUGAAAUCAGCGGCCGAUGCAGACAGGAGUUCAGAUUUGGCGUCACCUGGGUGGCCACACAGUUACAGGCUCUCCGUGCAACUCCCCAUCACUGGGUCCCGGAGCUCCAGGUAUGGAAAACACACGGGCAUCUAUCUCAGGUUUUUGGAGAGAGUGCAUUGGAGGCAUUAUUUUCCUUCUAAAAUACAAUAGUGCUUUGGCACCGCCACAUUCCUUUAAAAGUGCAUUUAUAUGUAACUCACUGCAUGAAUAAAC
ensembl:lncRNA